rnacentral:rRNA from 1 species
GACGAAGGGGGCUAGCGUUGUUCGGAAUUACUGGGCGUAAAGCGCGCGUAGGCGGUUUUGCAAGCCAGAGGUGAAAUGCCUGAGCUCAACUUAGGAAUUGCCUUUGGGACUGCGAGGCUUUGAGGACUGGAGAGGUGAGUGGAAUUCCCAGUGUAGAGGUGAAAUUCGUAGAUAUUGGGAAGAACACCAGUGGCGAAGGCGGCUCACUGGCCAGUUUCUGACGCUGCAGUGCGAAAGCGUGGGGAUCAAACAGGAUUAGAACCGUACCG